UCUUCACAAAUCCUUCGCAGAACCUAUAGGAAGCUUUCUGGACCCUUGAAUCAUUCAAAACCGUCAAGGAACGAAGAAAAUCCGUAGAGAAGAUUACACUCUUAAUCCGUGAAGGAAGUCUUGAUCGAUUCAGAUCAGAAAUAGGAGUUCCGGCUUUCACCAAAGGAUAGAUGAGAGGAAGAAGACGAACGAUGGAGGGACGCGUGUCAGGAAAGGAGAG